ensembl:misc_RNA Metazoa_SRP Metazoan signal recognition particle RNA
GCCAGGCAUGGUGGCGGGUGCCUGUAAUCCCAGCUACUCUGGAGGCUGAGGCAGGGGAAUCACUUGAACCUGGGGGGGCGGAGGUUGCAGUGAGCCGAGAUCAUGCCACUACACUCCAGCCUGGGCGACAGAGUGAGACCCUGUCUCAA